rnacentral:lncRNA from 1 species
CAGCAUGCUAACCAACCUUCAUCACUCCUCCUUGGUUUGCAUGGUGAAAACACCUAACUUCCUUCUAAAAAACUCGAACCUUGUGACAUUAAGACCUUUAGUUAGAAUGUCAACAAGUUGAUCCUCUGAAUUGCAGUGAAUUAACUUCAUCUCCUGUGCUUGCUCUAUUUCUCAAACAACAUGCAACUUAAUGCUGAAAUGCUUUGUUCUUCCAUGGAACACUGGAUUUUUAGCAAUUGCAACAGCAGAUUGGUUGUCACAAAAGAUCUCUGUUGCUUCUCUUUGAUGCACAUUCAAAUCAACCAAGAUUUUCCUUAGCUAAAUGGCUUGGUUGAUAGCACUUGCUGCUGCCACAUACUCUGCUUCAGCAGUAGAUUGAGCCACCAGGAUUUGUUUCCUCGAGCUCCAGCAGAACAUGGCUGAACCAAGGUUAAAAGCAUACCCUGAGGUGCUUUUCAUAUCAUCUAUCGAGCCAGCCCAGUCACUAUCAGUAUAGCCAACCAGUUUCAGAUUUCCUUCCUUGCUAUACCUCAAACCAUAGCUUAAAGUGCCUUUGACAUAUCUGAGCACUCUUUUUGCAGCUUGAAAAUGCUUUUUAUUGCAGCAAUGCAAGAAUCUUGAGAGCAAACUAACAGCAUACAUUAUGUCUGGCCUAGUGGCAGUUAAGUAUAACAAGCAACCAACUAGACUUCUGUAGGUUGUUUCACAAACCUCCUCAAAAUUACCUUGGCUCGAUAGUUUCUCUCCAACAGCAACAUGAGUUCUUGUUGCUUUGCUGUUUUGCAUGGAGAACUUGGUUAAAAUUAUCAAGACAAAGCUUCUCCGACUUAGAAAUAUCCCAUUCUGUGUUUGUGACACCUCCAUUCCAAGAAAAUAGGACAUCUCCCCUAGAUCAGACAUUUCAAACAUCUCCUGCAUCUAAGUCUUGAAACUGACCAACAUUGCUUGAUCUCCUCUUGUCACUAGCAAGUCAUCAACACACAGAGACACAAUGAGCUGUGUUUGUGUCCCUUGUUUCUUAACAUACAAUGUCGGCUCACUCUUGCUCCUAUCGAAUCCCAAGUCAACUAGGUAGCCAUCAAUUCUGCUGUACCAGGCCCUUGGAGACUGUUUUAAGCCAUACAAGGCUUUCUUCAGUUUGUACACCAUAUGCUUUCUACCAUCUAUCUCAAACCCUUGUGGUUGUUCAACAAAGAUGUCUUCAUCUAAGAAGCUAUUCAGAAAAGCUGAAUUCACAUCAAGUUGAUGUAUUUUCCAUUCGAGUUGUGCUACUAAGGCAAUCAGCAGUCUGAUGGUAUCGAGCCUAGCCACUAGUGCAAAGGUCUCUAGGUAGUCCAGACUAUAUUUCUGACUGAACCCGUUGACAACUAACCUUACUUUCAACUUGUUCAAGCUUCCAUCAGCAUUUUUCUUGACUUUGUACACCCAUUUCACUCAAAUAAUCUUCCUUCUGACUGGCCUUUCAACCAAUUCCCAAGUCUGGUUCUUCUCAAUCAUGUUGAUCUCCUCAGCCAUUGCUUGCUUCCACCCUUGUUGAGCUUCAGCCUCUUCAAAACUACUUGGUUCAGCUAUGACUACAUAAGCCCUUUCAUAAAUUUUAGUCAAUGGUCUUGUUCCCCUGACUGGUUCAUCAUCAAUGUCCAUUUCAAGACCACUUUGAUCUGGCUCAGCUUGAUCUACUGCAAGUUCUUCUGAAACUUCCUCAGGUUCAUGUCUUUCCCAGUUCCAACAUGACCUUUUAUCAAAUACUACAUCCCUGCUGACUGAUACUUUGUUUGUUGAAGGAUCUAAGAUCCUAUACCCUUUCUUGACUGUGCUGUACCCCACCAAAACACUAGGUCGAGCCCUUUCAGACAACUUGUCCCUUUUAACAGCAGGUAUAUGUGCAUAGCAUAUGCAUCCAAAGACCUUCAGAUGUUCCAGUGAUGGCUUGAAUCCAAACCAGGCAUCAAAUGGAGUCUUCUGGUCCAAAGCCUUGGUUGGAAACCUGUUUUGAAUGUAGGUUGCAGUGUUAACUGCUUCUGCCCAUAGAGCUUUAGGCAGAUUCUUCUGAAUCAUCAAGCACCUGGCCAUAUCCAUCAAGCUCCUAUUCUUUCUUUCACUUACACCAUUUUGCUGAGGUUUAUAAGUGUUGGUAAGCUGAUGUUUGAUGCCUGCCUUAUCACAGAAGGCUUGAAACUGAGCUGAGGUGUACUCAGUCCCAUUAUCAGAUCUUAUGGUCUUCAGGUUGUAGCCUGUUUCAGUCUCAGCAGCAGUUUUGAACUUCCAAAACACAGAGGCCACCUCUGAUUUCUGUUUCAAGAAGUAAAGCCAAUAAUAUCUCGAGAAAUCAUCAAUGAACAAUAUAAAGUACUUGUUUCCACUUAAUGAAUCAGUCUUCAUGGGGCCACACACAUCAGUGUGCACCAGUUGUAGUCUUUCAGAGGCUCUCCAGGCUUGAUUCGAGGGAAAUGGAAGUCUGGCUUGCUUGCCUAGCUGACAUACCUCACAUACUUCCUGGUUUUGAACUGAGCUUAUGAAAUUUUCAACCAAGCCACUCCUGCACAUGUGCUUCAUCGAUUUGUAAUUAGCAUGACCAAGUCUUUGAUGCCAAAGCUUGGAUUCAUCUGUUGUAGCCAUGUAAGCAGUGUUUGACUCCUUUGUCCAGUCAACCACAAAGCUUUUAUCAGCCAUAGGGACUGUCAUCAGCUUGGAUCCACUUGAAUCACUGAUUUGGCACUGAUUGUCCUUGAACACCACAUAAUACCCCUUCUCUAGCAAUUGAGCUAUGCUGAGUAGGUUCCUGUCAAUUUCAGGUACCAAAAGUACACUUGAAAUAAUUUUGGCACCUCUGCGAGUGCAUAUCAGCACAUCACCCUUGCCUUCAGCUUUUAUGAAGUGACCAUUACCUAUUUUGAUUUUGGUUCUGCAGCUUCUAUCUAAGGACUUAAAGAUAGCAGCAUCAGGUGUCAUAUGGUUGGUGCAUUCACUGUUUAGGAGCCAACCAGAUGGAAUUCUUUGCUGAGCAGCUGAGCAUGACACAGAAAAGACUUGCUCCUCUUGGUCACUGUCUUCCUUGGCUACUCGAGCUUCUGCCUUCACCUGUUGGGAAUGAUUCUACCUUGGUUUACCCUUGCUUUUGCAGACUCUCUCAACAUGACCCUUCUUUUUGCAAUGCUGGCAUACAGCAUUUGGACUGAACCAACAUUUUUCUUCUGGAUGACCAGGCCUUUUGCAAUACCUGCAAGCCUAACCUUCUCUUCUUGUAGCAUCAUACUUUGGCUUGUCUCUCCAAGCCUUCUUGCCUUUGUAGGCAGUAUUUGUUCUUGCCUGAAAGGCACCUUCUUGGUGCUCCUCCAGUCUGCUUGCUCUCCUCUGCUCUUGAGCAUAUAGAGCAUUGAUCAACUCUGUCAGGGAGAUACUGGACAUGUCCCUUGAGUCUUCGAAAGAUGAGAUUUUUGCCUCAUACCUCUCAGGCAAAGUUGCAAUGACCUUCUCCACUAUCCUAACUUCAUUGAAUUGCUCACCAAAGAGCUUAAUGCUAUUAACCACAGCCAUAAUCCUGUCAGAGUAUUGUUUGACAGUUUCUUCUUCCUUCAUCUUCAAAUUCUCGAAUUCUCUCCUCAAAUUCAACAACUGUUGCUGCCUUGUCCUAUCUGUCCCUUGAAACUCCACUUUCAACUUAUCCCAGGCCUGUUUUGGUGAUUCACAGGCCAUAAUCCUUGUGAAAAUCACAUCUGAAAUUGAGUUCUGGAUGCAAGACAUGGCCUUGUACCUCUUGGUCCUCUCAUCAGCAUGCUGCCUGAUUUGAGCCACUGUUGGAUUGGCUCUAAGUGGCUCUAGUUCAACAUCAGAGUUGACCACCUCCCACAAAUUGAAAGCCUGCAGGUAGGUCUUCAUUUUGACCACCCAUAUGUGAUAGCCUUCUCCAUUGAAGACUUGUGGUGCAGCUGGUGAAAAGUUUGAUGAAGCUAUCUUUCAAGCAACAGGUCCCUUAAGAUAACAGCUCUAGAUACCAAUUGUUGGUGUUAUAACAGAAAUUAACAGACUCGGCUAGUGCCUUGUGCAACAAGCCUCGAUGCUUGCUAAGCAAACAAACAAAUUCGAGCAAGAAGAAAUGAAGAAAAGCUAAAGAAAAUGAAGAAAGUUUUUGAUGAACAAAACAUAUUUCAUUCAUUAGUAAAAGCAAUGGCAUAAUGCCAAUACAUAAAUCAAGCAAUUAGCUUGUCAAAACAGCUCAUGUCUACCUAAUGGUUACCUAACACCACUAAAACAUUGAAACUUGAAAUAAUUAACUUGUACAUAUAACCAAAGCUGAUAAAUAGCUUAUCAAUCCGCAAAAUACAUCAAUCAUCAACCUAACUUAGUUCAAAGUGAACUAAAAUACAUUUCAUUAACUAGAAGAUUACAAAAUAAACAAAACUUGUUCAAUCUUGCUUGCUGCAGUGACUUCUACUGUGGUCGAGCUUCAUGGCUUGCUGAUUUGCUCCAUUGCAGCAUGCUAACCAACCUUCAUCAGGUUCAUUUGCUUGAAACUCAUUUGCAGACCGAGUAUAAAUGGGGGCAAAUAAAACCUUAAAAAUAGUGACUUGAUACUCAUGUAGGAGCCUUAUCCUAUUACUUUAUUUUUUUUGUUCGAGUUAUUGUUCGUGUUUUGUUCGUGUGUUGAAGAUCUUCCCCACUGAAGUUCCGUAUUAACAAUACUAACAGCGAUUGAAUAUUGGGUUUUUCUUGUAGUAUUGCGGUGGCUACUGUUCUCCAAUCUAAGCUAUGGGUUAUUUUUGAUGGCUUGACCUUG